UACAGAGGUCUCAAGCGUUGUUCGGAUUCAUUGGGCGUAAAGGGUGCGUAGGUGGCGGGGUAAGUCAGGUGUGAAAUUUCGGAGCUCAACUCCGAAACUGCAUUUGAUACUGCCUUGCUUGAGGACUGGAGAGGAGACUGGAAUUUACGGUGUAGCAGUGAAAUGCGUAGAUAUCGUAAGGAAGACCAGUGGCGAAGGCGGGUCUCUGGACAGUUCCUGACACUGAGGCACGAAGGCUAGGGGAGCAAACGGG
rnacentral:rRNA from 1 species